GUGGGGAAUCUUCCGCAAUGGACGAAAGUCUGACGGAGCAACGCCGCGUGAGUGAAGAAGGUUUUCGGAUCGUAAAGCUCUUUCGUUAGGGACGAACGUGCUCUUUGUGAAUAAUGAGGAGUAAUGACGGUACCUAAAUAAGAAGCCACGGCUAACUACGUGCCAGCAGCCGCGGUAAUACGUAGGUGGCAAGCGUUGUCCGGAAUUAUUGGGCGUAAAGCGAGCGCAGGCGGGAUAUCAAGUCUGUCUUAAAAGUGCGAGGCUCAACCUCGUGAGGGGACAGAAACUGGUAUUCUUGAGUGUCGGAGAGGAAAGUGGAAGUCCAAGUGUAGCGGUGAAAUGCGUAGAGAUUUGGAAGAACACCAGUGGCGAAGGCGACUUUCUGGACGAUGUCUGACGCUGAGGCGCGAAAGCUAGGGGAGCGAACGGGAUUAGAAACCCUGGUAGUCC
rnacentral:rRNA from 1 species